ACUACCGAGUACCUAUAAGUACCUAGAAUUUCGUUGGAAAAAGUCUUUCGUCGUCGUCGUCUUCUUCGAAAACCGGAAAAUGAACACAACUUUCGAAUAAUUCGAAAUUGCAGUAACUAUCUAUGCACACGUGAGUCCAUAAAAUAAUUCAUUGGAAUUUUGUCAUUCAUAAAAAAAACUAAGUAUAUAAGCACACUAAGUAUAGUAGUAUUGGUUUACUCAUUCAUAGUGCAUUACAGAAGUUAUACUACGUUUCAAAACACCAAUUUUCUACAUUAGCUCUUCGAACUUGAAAUUUGCUAAUUGUACGUAAGAUUCCUACAACACGUAUCUUCAAACAUGGGCAAUAAAACAUCUCAGAUUGUCGACGAUGUCAUCAUUUUCUUCAAGGGGCCAUCGGAUCGAAAAAUACAAGAAAUCACUGCAACGACAGUUGGUCCAGUACAACGUCCACCACCGAUGACUCCAUCAAAUGAUCAAUCGGAUGGUUCGAGCCAACCUUCAAGAAAAUAGCAGUCUCAGAACGUUUCAGAAAAAUCAAAAUAAAUAAUGAGUAGGUAAUUGGUCGGAGAAGACGAAGAUCAUGAUAAUGAAAUAAAUUUUAGUGAACAUCAAUACCUCAUCACUUUGCUCCAAAUAUGUACAAGUAUAUGCUAAGUAUUUUUAUUUUUAACGAAAACAUAAUUCUAUCCACUUUCUUGUAACUUUCCUUUCAUAAUAAAUUAAUUUUAUACUCAUCUA